UACGUAGGGGGCUAGCGUUGUCCGGAAUCAUUGGGCGUAAAGCGCGCGUAGGCGGCCCGGUAAGUCCGUUGUAAAAGUCAAAGGCUCAACCUUUGAAAGCCGAUGGAUACUGCCGGGCUAGAGUCCGGAAGAGGCGAGUGGAAUUCCUGGUGUAGCGGUGGAAUGCGCAGAUAUCAGGAGGAACACCGAUAGCGAAGGCAGCUCGCUGGGACGGUACUGACGCUGAGGCGCGAAGCGUGGGGAGCGAACAGG
rnacentral:rRNA from 1 species